UUAAAUAAAAAUCGGCGUUGUUGCUGCCUUUCGUGGUGACGCGUCAGAAUUGGGUCGUCUUAACCUUUCGGUUUAAGUGACUUAAAAUUUUUGCAUGAUUUUCGAACGUAUUUAAAAUUGCUUUACGUACGUUUGAGAUCUCGAAUUUAUUGGGUCCAGUCAUCUUCAUGACUCGCGCCUAUAAUUUUUCAUU
rnacentral:misc_RNA from 1 species